UACAGAGGUCCCAAGCGUUUGUUCGGAUUCAUUGGGCGUAAAGGGUGCGUAGGCGGCGCGGUAAGUCGGGUGUGAAAUCUCGGGGCUUAACUCCGAAACUGCAUUCGAUACUGCCGUGCUUGAGGACUGGAGAGGAGACUGGAAUUUACGGUGUAGCGGUGAAAUGCGUAGAUAUCGUAAGGAAGACCAGUGGCGAAGGCGGGUCUCGUGGACAGUUCCUGACGCUGAGGCACGAAGGCCAGGGGAGCAAACGGG
rnacentral:rRNA from 1 species